rnacentral:rRNA from 1 species
AUUGAACGCUGGCGGCAGGCCUAACACAUGCAAGUCGAACGGUAACAGGAAGCAGCUUGCUGCUUUGCUGACGAGUGGCGGACGGGUGAGUAAUGUCUGGGAAACUGCCCGAUGGAGGGGGAUAACUACUGGAAACGGUAGCUAAUACCGCAUAACGUCGCAAGACCAAAGAGGGGGACCUUAGGGCCUCUUGCCAUCGGAUGUGCCCAGAUGGGAUUAGCUAGUAGGUGGGGUAACGGCUCACCUAGGCGACGAUCCCUAGCUGGUCUGAGAGGAUGACCAGCCACACUGGAACUGAGACACGGUCCAGACUCCUACGGGAGGCAGCAGUGGGGAAUAUUGCACAAUGGGCGCAGGCCUGAUGCAGCCAUGCCGCGUGCAUGAAGAAGGCCUUCGGGUUGUAAAGUACUUUCAGCGGGGAGGAAGGGAGUAAAGUUAAUACCUUUGCUCAUUGACGUUACCCGCAGAAGAAGCACCGGCUAACUCCGUG